rnacentral:tRNA from 3 species
GGGGCUGUAGCUCAGCUGGGAGAGCACCUGCUUUGCAAGCAGGGGGUCAUCGGUUCGAUCCCGAUCAGCUCCACCA